rnacentral:rRNA from 1 species
CCUACGGGAGGCAGCAGUAGGGAAUCUUCCACAAUGGGCGAAAGCCUGAUGGAGCAACGCCGCGUGGGUGAAGAAGGUCUUCGGAUCGUAAAACCCUGUUGUUAGAGAAGCAAGUGCGUGAGAGUAACUGUCCACGUUUCGACGGUAUCUAACCAGAAAGCCACGGCUAACUACGUGCCCGCCGCCGCGGUAAUACGUAGGUGGCAAGCGUUAUCCGGAUUUGUUGGGCGUAAAGGGAACGCAGGCGGUCAUUUAACGCUGAUGUGAAAGCCUUCGGCUUAACCGGAGUAGUGCAUUGGAAACUGGGAGACUUGAGUGCAGAAGAGGAGAGUGGAACGCCAUGUGUAGCGGUGAAAUGCGUAGAUAUAUGGAAGAACACCAGUGGCGAAGGCGGCGCUCUGGUGUGUAACUGACGCUGAGGUUCGAAAGCGUGGGUAGCGAACAGGAUUAGAUACCCCGGUAGUC